UACGAAGGGGGCUAGCGUUGUUCGGAUUUACUGGGCGUAAAGCGCGUGUAGGCGGGUCGUUAAGUUGGGGGUGAAAUCCCGAGGCUCAACCUCGGAACUGCCUUCAAGACUGGCGACCUGGACUCAAGCAGAGGCAAGUGGAAUUGCGAGUGUAGAGGUGAAAUUCGUAGAUAUUCGCAGGAACACCAGUGGCGAAGGCGACUUGCUGGGCUUGUAGUGACGCUGAGACGCGAAAGCGCGGGGAGCCUACAGG
rnacentral:rRNA from 1 species